ACCCCUUCUCACAAGAAGAAAUCCUAGUUUACUUACACAUAUGGCCAAACAAGCUACCCCUAUAAGAGAUUUGGUAGAAGACCAAUGUCCUACUAGUUUACACCACAAUUUGAAUGCCUUCCUCAAGAUCCAAUUAAAAAGUGUGCUCUAAAUGGAGAAAUAGAAUGGGAAUCAAGCAAUCUAGUUAUCAAAACAACUAAAGAGCUACAAAUUCAAAGGAGUGGGUGCUUGUUACUAACCUUAAAGCAAGAAGAUCAUGCCUAUGCUUAAAAAUCCAAGACGUUCAUUAAGCAUUUUGGUAUAGAAUGACCGCAACAAUGGAGGGAGAGGUGGGAAAAGGUGCUCCUUGGCUAAGUGUGCUUGGGAUGGGAGGAACGAGGAAGGAGGAGGUCGGCUUUGUACUGUGCCCAAAGCCACUACUGGUUCAAGCCAAAAACCAGCAGAGAUAGCACAUCAGCACUACCGGUUCA
rnacentral:lncRNA from 1 species